rnacentral:rRNA from 1 species
CAUGAGUUAUGUCAUGUUAUCGACAUGUGAAUUCAUAGCAUGUCAGAAGGCAGACCCGGAGAACUGAAACAUCUUAGUACCCGGAGGAAGAGAAAGAAAAAUCGAUUCCCUGAGUAGCGGCGAGCGAAACGGGAAGAGCCCAAACCAACAAGCUUGCUUGUUGGGGUUGUAGGACACUCUAUACGGAGUUACAAAAGAACAUGUUAGACGAAUCAUCUGGAAAGAUGAAUCAAAGAAGGUAAUAAUCCUGUAGUCGAAAACAUAUUCUCUCUUGAGUGGAUCCUGAGUACGACGGAGCACGUGAAAUUCCGUCGGAAUCUGGGAGGACCAUCUCCUAAGGCUAAAUACUCUCUAGUGACCGAUAGUGAACCAGUACCGUGAGGGAAAGGUGAAAAGUACCCCGGAAGGGGAGUGAAAGAGAACUUGAAACCGUGUGCUUACAAGUAGUCAGAGCCCGUUAAUGGGUGAUGGCGUGCCUUUUGUAGAAUGAACCGGCGAGUUACGAUCUGAUGCAAGGUUAAGCAGCAAAUGUGGAGCCGCAGCGAAAGCGAGUCUGAAUAGGGCGUUGAGUAUUUGGUCGUAGACCCGAAACCAGGUGAUCUACCCUUGGUCAGGUUGAAGUUCAGGUAACACUGAAUGGAGGACCGAACCGACUUACGUUGAAAAGUGAGCGGAUGAACUGAGGGUAGCGGAGAAAUUCCAAUCGAACUUGGAGAUAGCUGGUUCUCUCCGAAAUAGCUUUAGGGCUAGCCUCAAGUGAUGAUUAUUGGAGGUAGAGCACUGUUUGGACGAGGGGCCCCUCUCGGGUUACCGAAUUCAGACAAACUCCGAAUGCCAAUUAAUUUAACUUGGGAGUCAGAACAUGGGUGAUAAGGUCCGUGUUCGAAAGGGAAACAG